rnacentral:rRNA from 1 species
UUCUAAGGGCGGUGAAGUCAGACCGGAAGGACUGGUGGAGCGCUUAGAAGUGAGAAUGCCGGUAUGAGUAGCGAAAGAAGGGUGAGAAUCCCUUCCACCGAAUAUCUAAGGUUUCCUGAGGAAGGCUCGUCCGCUCAGGGUUAGUCGGGACCUAAGCCGAGGCCGAUAGGCGUAGGCGAUGGACAACAGGUAGAGAUUCCUGUACCAGUGCUAAUUGUUUAACCGAUGGGGUGACACAGAAGGAUAGGGAAUCGCACGAAUGGAAAUGUGCGUCCAAGCAGUGAGUGUGAGAAGUAGGCAAAUCCGCUUCUCGCGAAGCAUGAGCUGUGAUGGGGAAGGAAAUUAAGUACGGAAGUUCCUGAUUUCACGCUGUCAAGAAAAGCCUCUAGGAAGAGUAGUACUGCCCGUACCG